rnacentral:lncRNA from 1 species
AGUGGAUCCAAGAUGGCGUAGAAAGUAAUGACAGGAAUUGGAUGAAGUAAUUGAUCACUAAUGAACUACAGAGCCGGUGAGAUGUACAAGAAAUUAUAAAGAGCUCUGAUGGGCGAUUUGGGUGAUACGCAGUGCAGUGAACUGCAGGAUUUUUGUCCCUGAGUCAUGGAAGACAGAAGAGCUGAAAGGUCAUGUGAACAAGCGUGCGCGUCACUGCAGAGGCAGGACUAUGACAUGGCCCUCCAGCAUUGCACAGACGCCCUGCUCUCUCUUGGCCAGUACUCCAUGACAGACUUCGCAGGGCCGUGCCCAGUGGAGAUUGAGCGCAUCAAAAUCGAGAGUCUUCUGUACAGAAUUGCCUCAUUCUUGCAGUUGAAAAACUACGGGCAAGCUGAUGAAGAUUGUA